UACGUAGGGUCCGAGCGUUGUCCGGAUUCAUUGGGCGUAAAGAGCUCGUAGGCGGUUUUGUAAGUCGGAUGUGAAAACUCAGGGCUCAACCCGGAGACGCCAUCCGAUACUGCGAUGACUUGAGUCUGGUAGGGGAUCACGGAAUACCUGGUGUAGCGGUGAAAUGCGCAGAUAUCAGGUGGAACACCGAUGGCGAAGGCAGUGAUCUGGGCCAGUACUGACGCUGAGGAGCGAAAGCGUGGGGAGCAAACAGGAUUAGAAACCCCUGUAGUCC
rnacentral:rRNA from 1 species